rnacentral:rRNA from 1 species
GACGAACGCUGGCGGCGUGCUUAACACAUGCAAGUCGAACGAAAAGAGGGAAAGAGCUUGCUCUUUCCGGAAUUGAGUGGCAAACGGGUGAGUAACACGUAAACAACCUGCCUUCAGGAUGGGGACAACAGACGGAAACGACCGCUAAUACCGAAUAAGUUCCAAGAGCCGCAUGGCCCAUGGAAGAAAAGGUGGCCUCUACCUGUAAGCUAUCGCCUGAAGAGGGGUUUGCGUCUGAUUAGCUGGUUGGAGGGGUAACGGCCCACCAAGGCGACGAUCAGUAGCCGGUUGAGAGGAUGAACGGCCACACUGGAACUGAGACACGGUCCAGACUCCUACGGGAGGCAGCAGUGGGGAAUCUUCCGCAAUGGGCGAAAGCCUGACGGAGCAACGCCGCGUGAGUGAUGACGGCCUUCGGGUUGUAAAACUCUGUGAUCCGGGACGAAAAGGCAGAGUGCGAAGAACAAACUGCAUUGACG